rnacentral:rRNA from 1 species
AACGAACGCUGGCGGCGUGCCUAACACAUGCAAGUCGUGCGAGAAAGUUCCUUCGGGAGCGAGUAAAGCGGCGCACGGAUGAGUAACACGUAGGUAACCUGCCCCCCAGUCUGGAACAACUAGAGGAAACUCUAGCUAAUGCCGGAUGAGACCACGAUCCCUUCGGGGGUUGCGGCCAAAGAUGGCCUCUACUUGUAAGCUAUCGCUGAGGGAUGGGCCUGCGGGCCAUUAGCUUGUUGGUGAGGUAACGGCUCACCAAGGCUGUGAUGGCUAGCUGGUCUGAGAGGAUGACCAGCCACACUGGGACUGAGACACGGCCCAGACUCCUACGGGAGGCAGCAGUGGGGAAUAUUGCGCAAUGGGCGAAAGCCUGACGCAGCGACGCCGCGUGGGUGAUGAAGGCCU